rnacentral:rRNA from 1 species
ACUACGGGUGGCAGCAGUGGGGGAUAUUGCACAAUGGGGGGAACCCUGAUGCAGCGACGCCGCGUGGGUGAAGAAGCGCCUCGGCGCGUAAAGCCCUUUCAGCAGGGAAGAAAAUGACGGUACCUGAAGAAGAAGCCCCGGCUAACUACGUGCCAGCAGCCGCGGUAAUACGUAGGGGGCAAGCGUUAUCCGGAUUUACUGGGUGUAAAUGGGGCGGAGACGGGAAGACAAGUCAGAUGUGACAUCCCGCGGCUCAACCGCGGAACUGCAUUUGAAACUGUUUUUCUUGAGUACCGGAGAGGUCAUCGGAAUUCCUUGGGUAGCGGUGAAAUGCGUAGAUAUAAGGAAGAACACCAGUGGCGAAGGCGGAUGACUGGACGGCAACUGACGGUGAGGCGCGAAAGCGUGGGGAGCAAACAGGAUUAGAUACCCUUGUAGUC